GUGACAGCAGCCGCGGUAAUACGUAGGUGGCAAGCGUUGUCCGGAUUUACUGGGCGUAAAGGGCUUGUAGGCGGUUUGUUAAGUCUGGUGUGAAAUCUCCCGGCUCAACCGGGAGGGGUCAUCGGAUACUGGCAGACUAGAGACGGGUAGAGGAAAGCAGAAUUCCCGGUGUAGCGGUGAAAUGCGUAGAUAUCGGGAGGAAUACCAGUGGCGAAGGCGGCUUUCUGGGCCUGUUCUGACGCUGAGGAGCGAAAGCGUGGGGAGCAAACCGGAUUAGAAACCCGAGUAGUCC
rnacentral:rRNA from 1 species